GAAGGAGAAUCUUCCCUUGGCCUCUACAGAGCAAUACAGAGAAGAUUAGGAUGGCCCUGCACAAGGAUGACACACAAAUUUGUGAGGUUAUUUCCCAUUUUU